AGGUAAGCUACUAAGAGCGAAUGGUGGAUGCCUUGACUGGUAAAGGCGAUGAAGGACGUACUAGACUGCGAUAAGCUACGGGGAGCUGUCAAGAAGCUUUGAUCCGUAGAUUUCCGAAUGGGGCAACCCAAUGUAUAGAGAUAUACAUUACCUAUAUAGGAGCGAACGAGGGGAAUUGAAACAUCUUAGUACCCUCAGGAAAAGAAAUCAAUAGAGAUUGCGUCAGUAGCGGCGAGCGAAAGCGCAAGAGGGCAAACCCAGUGCUUGCACUGGGGGUUGUAGGACUGCAAUGUGCAAGAGGUAAGUUUAGCAGAACAUUCUGGAAAGUAUAGCCAUAGAGGGUGAUAGUCCCGUAUGCGAAAAACAAACCUUAGCUAGCAGUAUCCUGAGUAGGGCGGGACACGAGGAAUCCUGUCUGAAUCCGGGUCGACCACGAUCCAACCCUAAAUACUAAUACCAGAUCGAUAGUGCACAAGUACCGUGAGGGAAAGGUGAAAAGAACUGAGGUGAUCAGAGUGAAAUAGAACCUGAAACCAUUUGCUUACAAUCAUUCAGAGCCCUAUGUAGCAAUACAGGGUGAUGGACUGCCUUUUGCAUAAUGAGCCUGCGAGUUGUGGUGUCUGGCAAGGUUAAGCAAACGCGAAGCCGUAGCGAAAGCGAGUCUGAAUAGGGCGCUUAGUCAGAUGCUGCAGACCCGAAACGAAGUGAUCUAUCCAUGAGCAAGUUGAAGCUAGUGUAAGAACUAGUGGAGGACUGAACCCAUAGGCGUUGAAAAGCCCCGGGAUGACUUGUGGAUAGGGGUGAAAGGCCAAUCAAACUUCGUGAUAGCUGGUUCUCUCCGAAAUAUAUUUAGGUAUAGCGUUGUGUCGUAAUAUAAGGGGGUAGAGCACUGAAUGGGCUAGGGCAUACACCAAUGUACCAAACCCUAUCAAACUCCGAAUACCUUAUAUGUAAUCACAGCAGUCAGGCGGCGAGUGAUAAAAUCCGUCGUCAAGAGGGAAACAACCCAGACUACCAGCUAAGGUCCCUAAGUCUUACUUAAGUGGAAAACGAUGUGAAGUUACUUAAACAACCAGGAGGUUGGCUUAGAAGCAGCCAUCCUUUAAAGAAAGCGUAAUAGCUCACUGGUCUAGUGAUUUUGCGCGGAAAAUAUAACGGGGCUAAAGUAAGUACCGAAGCUGUAGACUUAGUUUACUAAGUGGUAGGAGAGCGUUCUAUUUGCGUCGAAGGUAUACCGGUAAGGAGUGCUGGAGCGAAUAGAAGUGAGCAUGCAGGCAUGAGUAGCGAUAAUUAAUGUGAGAAUCAUUAACGCCGUAAACCCAAGGUUUCCUACGCGAUGCUCGUCAUCGUAGGGUUAGUCGGGUCCUAAGUCGAGUCCGAAAGGGGUAGACGAUGGCAAAUUGGUUAAUAUUCCAAUACCAACAUUAGUGUGCGAUGGAAGGACGCUUAGGGCUAAGGGGGCUAGCGG
rnacentral:rRNA from 1 species